UUUCCGUGAUGGCUAACGAUAACUAGCUCACCAAGCCGACUGGGUGCUGGGACACCGGGUCGUGGACAUUUCUUUACGGUUGCAGACGCUGCUCUGGAUCAUAAACAGUAAAUCGGAGCGGACACUACAAGGACAAGCUGGCUGUUGGACUUAAGCUUCAUAACUGACCCGUGGACAGUCCGUGGCUCCCGUCCUUUAAUCGCCAGACGUCAGUCCAGCCACAUCGUGGAUCUUUAGCCCUCCAGGCAGGACAGUGGCAGAGGCAGAGCCAUCAGGGAUCACAUCAGGGCUCCAUGAGCAUCACGGGGCAUCACGGGGGAGGCCUGCGUACUCGCCGAAGCCUUGCCCGGGACAAGGAUCAGAGGCCAGGCAUGGGCAUGGAGGCGGCCUGCUGGCUGUCUCCUGGAGUCCUGCGCAGGUUGAUCGAGCUUCCUUCUCCCCCUCUAUCCCGGCACCAGCUCAAGAGACUGGAGGAGCAUAGGUACAGCAGUGCUGGACGCUCGCUGCUGGAGCCUCUGAUGCAGCGCUAUUGGGAGUGGUUGGUUGGACAGGUCCCUUCCUGGAUUGCCCCCAACCUCAUCACCAUCAUCGGCCUGGCCACCAAUGUCUUCACCACCCUCGUGCUUGUCUAUUACUGCCCUACUGCCACUGAGCAGGCUCCUCUCUGGGCAUACCUAAUGUGUGCAGUGGGUCUCUUUAUCUACCAGUCAUUGGAUGCCAUUGAUGGAAAACAGGCCAGACGCACCAAUAGCAGCUCUCCAUUGGGCGAGCUAUUUGACCACGGCUGCGACUCCCUCUCUACAGUGUUUGUUGUACUGGGAACCAGUAUAGCAGUGCAGCUGGGCACCAACCCAGACUGGAUGUUCUUCUGCUGCUUCGCUGGGAUGUUUAUGUUCUACUGUGCCCACUGGCAAACAUACGUGUCAGGAACGCUACGCUUUGGCAUCAUUGAUGUGACUGAGGUGCAAAUCUUCAUUAUAAUCAUGUAUUUGCUGGCCGCCGUGGGAGGAUCUGCUUUUUGGCAGUCACUGAUUCCCGUCCUAAAUAUCCAGAUGAAAAUGAUUCCGGCCAUUUGCACUUUACUAGGAGCCAUCUUCUCUUGCACAAAUUACUUCAGAGUUAUAUUUACUGGAGGUGUUGGUAAAAAUGGAUCCACAAUAGCUGGAACCAGCGUCCUCUCUCCUGUCCUACAUAUUGGUUCAGUUAUAAUUUUGGCAGUGAUGAUAUACAAAAAGUCUGCUGUCCAGCUCUUCGAGAAACAUCCAUGUCUUUAUAUCCUGGCGUUUGGCUUCGUAUCGGCCAAAAUCACAAAUAAAUUAGGUUGUAGCACAUAUGACAAAAAGUGAGAUGCAUCUCCAUGACUUAGCCUUCUUGGGGCCAGGAUUACUGUUUCUCGAUCAGUAUUUCAAUAGUUUUAUUGAUGAGUACCUGGUACUCUGGAUUGCACUGAUCAUUUCCCUGUUUGACCUGGUGCGCUACUGUGUCAGUGUUUGCAACCAGAUUGCCUGCCAUCUUCACAUUUUUGUUUUCAAAAUCAAGCCUUUGCUUAGUCCCCAGUCCAGCUAAUUGCUGAGUGGACGCCAGCCGUUACUGACUCUGUCCCUUCAACUUAGUCGCACUCAUCUUCUCUUCCCUCAGUUUUACUUCUAAAGAGGCAGGAGUCGAUGUAGUGUAAAAUAUGUGCUUCUGCCAACUGAAUGUGAGGACAAAUAUUAUACAAUAGGAUACUGGAAUAUUACUGUCAUUUUUUCUUUUCUAUGAUUUUACCACCAAUACAGAAUUUAAUUUCUGACAAAGUCAUGGUUACAAUGAGUAAAUGUUUCAGAAGAGUACAGGUGCUACUCGGUGCAGUCCAAGGAGAGAAACUUACAUGUGUUUUAACUGUAUAAGUGCAAGAAAAUGUACAAGGAACGAAUCAAGGUUUUUGCUUUUCAUGAUAAGGAUUUUUGUAAUAUUUGCCUAACUUUAACUUUUGCUAUUGUAAAUAGGAAACUGUUAUAGUGUGCUUCUCUUAAGUUAAAAGUCCUGCUACAACACAUAUAAAUAUAUAUAUAUAUAUAUAUAUAAAAAUUUCAUGUAUUGGAUUUUUAAAGCAACUUCAUCUUCUGCACAUGAAUCAAAACUGUGCUGCUAUUUUGUAUCAGCAAAAUGUGUUUUUGGAAGAAACAGCAGCAACUUUAUUUUAUUAUGUAACAUAUCAGAACAUACUUUUUUCUUUUCAUUAUUUUUUUGUACUUCAAAAAUAUUCACUGCCAGUCCAUUCUCAGUUUAAUCUGUUGGUAUUUCGUUUUGCUUUCUGCAUUACUGGGUUUUGUACACUUUAAAGUUAGUUAAUGAGAAGGUUUUCUUUGUUUUAUUUUUUGGUUACAAAAAACAUUUUCACAAGUGGGAAAGGAGAACUAUAUUGAGUCAGAGGACUCUUUAAUGGCAUUUAUAGUUUUGCAGGUGUAUAUGAGAGGCCUGAGAGACUAAUGGUGGCCUUUGAUCUCAACAGUAAAUUCAUGGUAGUAAUUUCACACAUUUUGAGCUUUUGAUAACUAAAAUGAAAACUUGUGUUUCAGUCCUGUUACGGUUCACCGGCAUCCAAACCGCCCCAAAAGAAAUUCCAUGAAAAGAACAAAUCAUACCUGCACGUCUCACUUUUAUCACCUACUUUUACUAAGAUGUUUGCACCAACUUGGUAUCUAACGGUGUUAUUUUGAUUAAAAAUAUAAUUUUUAUUUUGAUUAAAAUUUAUCUAAUUUUCUAAGCUGCUUGUUCUUCUAUUUUACCCUUUUUUUUCCUUACCAUUUUUGCUUAGAUUCAGAUGCAAGUUGGGAUUAAAAUAACCAAAGCUGUUAAUUCAUAGUAACAUAAGAACAAAUGACUGCUAAAUGAUGCAAACUUAAUGACACCAAAUUGUGACUAUUAUUUGAAAAUCCUUCUCUUUAGAUCUGAUGGGUUUUUUUCUUUUCUUUUUUUACGUUUGUCUUUUCAUGGGAUUUGUGGAUAAGAAAUCCCCAGACUCUCACCAGACUGAUGAAUGAACACAGUGCAGCUGCCUGACUGAAUCCUCCUUGUGAGCUGUGUCUAAUACUGAUCGCAGUGUUUUCUCCCAAACACGUCUGCUGUAACAGAACAGGUGCACACGUGAAUGAAUGCGCAGGAGAUGAGGUGUAAAAACAAGCUCCAAUUUUUUUUAUUUUUGUUUUUUUAUUUCCUUUUUUGUGAUGAUCAAGUUUAUUAAAAACCCCAUCUAUUCCAUGUGCGGCUGCUGCUGCUCGCUCACCUCAGACUGACGCCAUGUUUAAGAUUGCUGCUGCUGAAGAGGGUUUCCAUUGCUGGUCUGGAUUCAUACAGACCAGGUUAUAAUUUCCUGCUUAUGCAUUUUGUGCCUGUUAAUGUUUGUUUUGGGGUUUUUUUUUCAAAGUCUGUUUCUAGGACUCUACAGUUUUCUUUACCAUCUGUAAUGCCAAAUGUUCAGUCUCAAAAAGUAUGUGGUAUCUCAGUUUCUGUUAACCGAUUUCAGGAUGAUUGUGGUGUUUAAUCAUCCAGAUAUCUGAAUAUAUCUUUACAUAAAAUGACCUGCUCACCCAGAUCAGUUUUUUUCUUUUUAUAAAUUUAUUUGAAAAGUGAUUUUCUGAAAAUAAAAACUUUAAUUCGGAAGAAUGUUUAAUGAGUAUUGGCACUACAUAAAAUAAUAAUCUUGCUCCUACAAGUCUUUUGUUUUACACAAGCAUGUCAUAUAUGUCCAAAUCUCUGAUUUUUGACUCAUUUUAAAACAAUCCAGCUUGAAAUUAAAAUGUUGGAAUUUAAUUGGAAUUUUGUAGAGAAGUAUUUUUGAGUAACAUUGUUUUUAAUAAAAGAUUGACUAAAAGAUUGUUAGAUUGCUUUCCAACACCUGAAGAAUAAUGUAAAAAUUGAAUUGGUAGAAAAAUUACUUUGACAAAAUCCAAUAUUUUAGGAUUGUGGUUCCCAGCCCCACCCCCACCCCCCAUUGUAAAUCAGGUAAUAAAAAAGGUUUUAUAUGUCAAAAACGCUUACUGAACAUUUACCAAUUACAAUUUCCAAAACUUUCUUUGUCUUCAAACUGAACUAAGUUGCAUUUAAAUGUUUGCUGAAUAGGAUGUCCUAAAAGACUUGAAGCUUUAUAAUAAAAUUAAAACAACCUAGAGGGAUUUGGGUGAUCCAGGUCAUCAAAAGAACAUAGCAGAGGGCUCCACUUUGCAGAUUUGGUAUGAAAUACAAGGUACAUUUAAGAAAAGUUAUGGAAUGUCAUUUUCCUAUCUUUAUUUCUGGUUCUCAGUGUUUGUUCUAGGACAAAAUAAGGAAUGAACUUGUUCCUCAAUCUGCAUGUUGUAGUAUUCCACUGUACAGUUUGUAUCUGGAGAGGCUUUGUAUGACUUCUACCUGAAAACUCAGCCGAACAACUUUUCAUAAUGACUCUGUGAGGUACACCACCAUCGCUGCAGCUUGUGUGCUUAUAGUUCCUGGCAUCAGGUCCACUCUCAUCUGUGAAGUUAAAAAAAAAUGCCUUAAUGAACUCAUUCGUUUUCUAUUACUUUGUACAAAUUGAAGCCUUUCUCGAUGAGCGCGUUGUCACUAUGUGCACGUGCUCUCAGAGGCUUGUGGAAAAGUUUGUCUUCUGUUGGCCAGAAAGCCAAGCUCAGGUAUUUCACCAGUGUGCGCCACAGUGUGUUGGAUCACCUGACAAUCUCUGCUUCAUCUAACAAUGCAAAUAAAUUUCAUAUUCCCACCUAAAAA